ensembl:lncRNA
ACUGACCAAGGAACAUCUAAGCAACUGGAAGCCACAGAACCUAAGGAAGGAGCCCUUCUGUACAGAUUUCAGAGGGAGACAUUCAUGUUGACAUCUUGACUUCCAGCUUUGAGCCUCCUGAACUUUUCAGUUGUGUAAUUCAGCAUUGUCAUGUACAGUCGUAUUUGGGAUUCCCCCAAAUUUAACAAUGACACUCAAAGAGACCUAGUUUUUGGUCAGACACAUAAAGACCUUGGAAAUUCAAAUCCAUCCUAAAAAGAUUAAAAAUGCUGCACUCCAACGAGGCCCAACAACAGGGAAGACUGUCAAAUGUUUGAGUUUUACCUUCAGGAUCCCUACCAGGUUCACAAGAAUUUCCCAUAUUAAUUAUGACAUGCAACCUACAAAGGUAAUAAGAGGAUACAGGAUGUGGAAGACAUCUUGAACACUAGAAAUCAGAGAUCAAGUUGUCAAGAGGACUGAUUUUUCUUCAGGAUUCUCUGCUUCACUCAUAGAAGAUUGUUUCAUUUCUUGUUUUCACGACCCACCACUGCAACUUGAACCGAUUGACAGCUUCUUGGGCAUGCCAAAGGAGAGUGUUUGGAGGAGUUCCUCCAUGCAUAGCAGUAUUUGCAGUUCCAGACUGUCAAAAAUUCUUGAACAUCUUUUUUUUUUUCAUUUACUGC